rnacentral:rRNA from 1 species
AUUGAACGCUGGCGGCAGGCCUAACACAUGCAAGUCGAACGAGCGUCGCACGGGUGAGGAAAGUCUGUGGAACUGCGUGAGGUAGGGGGGUAACAACUGUAAACGGUAGCUAAUAUCCCAUACGACCAGAUGUGUGCACAUGGGCGUUUCUAGUGGGUGGGGUAUUGGCUCACCUAGGCGACGAUCCCUAGCUGGUGUGAGAGGAUGACCAGCCACACUGGAACUGAGACACGGUCCAGACUCCUACGGGAGGCAGCAGUGGGGAAUAUUGCACAAUGGGCGCAAGCCUGAUGCAGCCAUGCCGCGUGUAUGAAGAAGGCCUUCGGGUUGUAAAGCACUUUCAGCGAGGAGGCGUUCUCGCAGAAAAGCACCGGCUAACUCCGUGCCAGCAGCCGCGGUAAUUC